CACGGUUUGGGUUGCUGGGAAGUUGGAGAACGAGGUGCUGGCGUUUAGUGAGGGCUUUUGUACUGACUCAACAGGGCGGAGGGGGAGCUGUGCAGGCAUGAGUCCUCAGGCCCUGCUGGUCAGCAACAACUCAUCUUUAGUCUGCCGCAAGAUGGGCGCAGGAGCUGAGAGUGUUUGAAAGUUUUACGGCAAUCACUAAAGUGUUGGUUUGCAGCGAUUUGGAAGCCUUUGACGCUGGAAAUGAAGUUAGUCCUGCAUCACAGUGUGAGCAGCAUUGCUGUGGAUUAUACAUUGCAAACCGUCAUUGUACUAAUAUACACUUUUCGCCCUUCUCUCCCUUGCCCUCACCUUCUGCCUUGUUAAGCACAGUCUGGCUCCAGUAAACACUGAGUAAAUAAU